AAAGUCUUAAGUUAAAAUAAACUAUAAGCCUUCAAAGCUUGAAUUAAGAAUAAUUCUUAGAUUUUA
rnacentral:tRNA from 1 species